rnacentral:rRNA from 1 species
GUGGGGAAUAUUGGACAAUGGGCGAAAGCCUGAUCCAGCAAUGCCGCGUGAGUGAUGAAGACCUUAGGGUUGUAAAGCUCUUUUACCAGGGAUGAUAAUGACAGUACCUGGAGAAUAAGCUCCGGCUAACUCCGUGCCAGCAGCCGCGGUAAUACGGAGGGAGCUAGCGUUGUUCGGAAUUACUGGGCGUAAAGCGCACGUAGGCGGUUACUCAAGUCAGAGGUGAAAGCCCGGGGCUCAACCCCGGAACUGCCUUUGAAACUAGGUAACUAGAAUCUUGGAGAGGUCAGUGGAAUUCCGAGUGUAGAGGUGAAAUUCGUAGAUAUUCGGAAGAACACCAGUGGCGAAGGCGACUGACUGGACAAGUAUUGACGCUGAGGUGCGAAAGCGUGGGGAGCAAACAGGAUUAGAUACCCCUGUAGUCC